UAAAAACUUAUUUAUUUUAGGUAGUAACAGAUUUCUUGAAACCUAAAGAAUUUGGCGGUAUUUUAAAUAAUUAGAGGAACCUGUUAAUUAAAUGAUAAUCCACAACAUAUCUUACCUAAAUUGAAUUUGUAUACCAUUGUUUUUAGAUUAUAUUUAAAAAUUAUAAUCGUAAUUAAUUAGUUUUUACAAAUCAAAUCAAGGUGCAGUAUAUUUAGGUUUUGAUGGGUUACAAUAUAUUUAUAUAAACGAACAGAUAAUGAAAAUAUUUUUUGAAGGUGGAUUUAAAAGUAAUUUGAAAUUAAAAUGUUCAAAUGAAUGAAAAUUUAAAAUAUGC
rnacentral:rRNA from 1 species